rnacentral:rRNA from 1 species
UACGGAGGAUCCGAGCGUUAUCCGGAUUUAUUGGGUCUAAAGGGAGCGUAGGUGGAUUGUUAAGUCAGUUGUGAAAGUUUGCGGCUCAACCGUAAAAUUGCAGUUGAAACUGGCAGUCUUGAGUACAGUAGAGGUGGGCGGAAUUCGUGGUGUAGCGGUGAAAUGCUUAGAUAUCACGAAGAACUCCGAUUGCGAAGGCAGCUCACUGGACUGCAACUGACACUGAGGCUCGAAAGUGUGGGUAUCAAACAGG